rnacentral:rRNA from 1 species
AACCUGGUUGAUCCUGCCAGUAGUCAUAUGCUUGUCUCAAAGAUUAAGCCAUGCAUGUCUCAGUAUAAGCUUCUAUACGGUGAAACUGCGAAUGGCUCAUUAAAACAGUUACAGUUUAUUUGAUGGUCAUUCCUUACAUGGAUAACUGUGGUAAUUCUAGAGCUAAUACAUGCGCCCAAACCCGACUCCGUGGAAGGGUUGUGUUUAUUAGUUACAGAACCAACCCAGGCUCUGCCUGGUCUUGUGGUGAUUCAUAAUAACCGAAUGAAUCGCAUUGCAUCAGCUGGCGAUGAAUCAUUCAAGUUUCUGACCUAUCAGCUUCCGACGGUAGUGUAUCGGACUACCGUGGCAAUGACGGGUAACGGAGAAUUAGGGUUCGAUUCCGGAGAGGGAGCCUGAGAAACGGCUACCACAUCUAAGGAAGGCAGCAGGCGCGCAAAUUACCUAAUCCUGACACAGGGAGGUAAUGAC